rnacentral:rRNA from 1 species
UGGCUCAGAACGAACGCUGGCGGCAUGCCUAACACAUGCAAGUCGAACGAACCCUUCGGGGUUAGUGGCGCACGGAUGCGUAACACGUGGGAAUCUGCCCUUUGCUUCGGAAUAACAGUUAGAAAUGACUGCUAAUACCGGAUGAUGUCGUAAGACCAAAGAUUUAUCGGCAAAGGAUGAGCCCGCGUAGGAUUAGGUAGUUGGUGGGGUAAAGGCCUACCAAGCCGACGAUCCUUAGCUGGUCUGAGAGGAUGAUCAGCCACACUGGGACUGAGACACGGCCCAGACUCCUACGGGAGGCAGCAGUGGGGAAUAUUGGACAAUGGGCGAAAGCCUGAUCCAGCAAUGCCGCGUGAGUGAUGAAGGCCUUCGGGUUGUAAAGCUCUUUUACCAGGGAUGAUAAUGACAGUACCUGGAGAAUAAGCUCCGGCUAACUCCGUG